rnacentral:rRNA from 1 species
UGGGGAAUAUUGCACAAUGGGCGAAAGCCUGAUGCAGCGACGCCGCGUGAGGGAUGAAGGCCUUCGGGUUGUAAACCUCUUUCAGCAGGGACGAAGCGAAAGUGACGGUACCUGCAGAAGAAGCACCGGCUAACUACGUGCCAGCAGCCGCGGUAAUACGUAGGGUGCAAGCAUUGUCCGGAUUUAUUGGGCGUAAAGAGCUCGUAGGCGGUCUGCCACGUCGGAUGUGAAAACUCGGGGCUCAACCCCGAGCCUGCAUCCGAUACGGGCAGACUAGAGUGUUGCAGGGGAGACUGGAAUUCCUGGUGUAGCGGUGAAAUGCGCAGAUAUCAGGAGGAACACCGGUGGCGAAGGCGGGUCUCUGGGCAACUACUGACGCUGAGGAGCGAAAGCGUGGGGAGCAAACA